GUUACAUUGUGUUGUUUAUUGUGUUGCAGUGUAUAUAAAUAUAUAUGUAUGUGGGUGUGUAUUCCUCUGCUGCGUUUGAAAUGUGUUUGUCAGUUGUUUUUGUUACGAAGUGGCAUGGAGGAUGGCUGACUUUCUGGAGGAGGAGGAGGCUGUGUUCUCCGUGAUCCAGGAGAGCUUAAAGAUUGAUGUGGGCCCUCACCUGCCCUUCAAAAAGGCUGCGAAGGAGCGGGCGGAGCAAAGAAUAACCAGUUUUCAACUUAACAAGAUAAGUCUACUCACAAGGUCACCACCCCUUUGUUACAUGAAAUGUAGUAUAUCAUUUAAGGUGCUGAAAGUUAUUUCGUAUCCACUGAUAAAAGUAUUAAUACAAACGGACAUCUUAAUCUGCUGGACUCUAUUGACAUUCAACCUCAUAGGUUCUGUUAAAAGUAUCAAGUGUUAACCUGCGUAACCGUUUGCUAUCGACUUUCAAAUGAGGUCUGGACUGCCGAGAAGAAGAACCAUUCGCCGAAAUGGAAAUCAUUGGUUCUCCAGACACUCUGCCCCUUUUAUGGAAAAGAACAAGGACAGAAGAGAAAGCUCAUGCUUUUCAAGCUCUGAGAACAGGCAAUCAUUUGUCAUCAUAUUGCCAGAUGGAACAGGACGGAUUUUUCAUCCUUUUGGAGAGAUUACUCAGAGAAUGUGUACAAAAUACAGUAAUGUAAUUUAUACAAAAUACAGUAAUGUAAUUUAUACAAAAUACAGUAAUGACAUUUAUAAAAAUACAAUUACUAAGUUCCUGUAUUUUCAUUCUAACUUUCUCAAAAGUAUUGAUGAUUUGAGAACAAGCAGGAUGGUGGGAUCGUUUACCCUAAUGGUGUGCAAGCCAUCCAUCAGGAAGGCUCGCCGGUCUCAUCUUCUGUGAUAGUACAGGACAAAGAUCUCCUACCAGAAAUCCAGAUUGUCUUUACAUUCAUAUCAUAUAAUGGCAUUUAUGAAGAAAUGCAGUGCCUUUUUGACUUCAUGAGUACUGUGUGCAUUUGGGAAGCUGCUGUUCUCCAGGUGACAUGUUGGGUGGGAGUUUCUGACAGUGUGCUCUUGCUUGAAAUAAAACA